UUGAGAAGCAGCGUGAUUUCUUUAGACAUUGAAACAAAUCUCAAGUGAGUUAAUUACGGUUUGCUCUGAGUUUAGGUCCAGCCAGAGGAGUUUUCAUGGCAUUUAGAUAAUUUAUCAAUUGGGCUACGUAACAGAUAAAAGGUUACGUUUUCCUUUCCAACAUUUGGGAGGUGCAUUUGUACCGUAAAUGCGACGAUUUUAAAAGAUCGGUCUAGACUUAGAUGAAUGAAAAUGAGGCUCGUUAACUGUAAUGUCUGGAGUCCGAGGUGGGGCGCAAAGCAAGCCUUGCUAUCCGUGGGCCGCCGUAGUCAAACGAAGCUGCUAAUUCGAAUGUUUCAAGUUUCGAAUUGAGAAAUAUUGUUCCAAUGGGGCAACAAUGGGGCUGUUGUCCCGGGCCCCUUACAGCUUGUUUUAUGCAAAACGAAUGGCAGGUAAUUGUGAUUUAAUUCUUUUCAAGGAAAUUACAGUGAGUGCGUGACACAAAGCCGCGGCGGACCCUCCUUUCUCUGUCAGUAGUUGAAUUAAUGGUGGCAGGAGUAAAAACAGCGAUUGUGCACAACAGCCCUCCCCGGUCCCCACCCCUGCCAAGGGGGGACCUGCCAAUCAGGCCGCGCCACCACGAGGCCGGCAAUCGUCGGGAUGCGGAGGUUCGCGGAUGGACCCUCCUGGUGUCUCGGCCCGGGGGUCACGGAGCCCGGGGCCGCCCCCUCCCCCUCCCCCCCGGGGCCGCCCCCCCGGGGCCGAGGUGCCCGCAGGGGUCCGCGUCUGCGCGCUACGGGCCGGGGCGCCCCCCGCUGGGGCGCCCUGGGCUCCGUGCCCCCCGGGCUGGCCUGUAGAGCUGGAUUUGCGCGGCAGAGUUGACGGCAGAAAGGGCUCCCUGGUAACCUGCCGGUGCUGGCCGCGCCGAGAGGCGCCCCGAGGGCUCCCGGAGGAGGCGGCGUGGCCGAGGGAGGAGUGCGGGGAGGCCGAUCUUUGAGCCCCGUCUGGGCGCGGCGCUGGAUGGCUGGGGUCUGCGCGCGUCCCUGCGGUCGGAGGGGCCCGAGACCAGAGCCGCCGCGCGCGCACAGCGCCAGGUCCCGGCACCUUGGCCAGUGUCUGCUAUGUAGCAGGAGUACUCUGUAAAAACUGUCGAUGGGUGAACGGAGUCACAUCUCCCGGCCCGCGCAUCAAAGUAGUUGAACCACCUCGUGUCUAAGUGCCUACUUCUGUCGUUCAAUGAGAGGAAUGGUCAGCAUAUUAGUUAGAUUUUUUUUUACAUCAAAAAAAAAAAAGACAGUAAUUUUCUGAACGAG